rnacentral:rRNA from 1 species
UACGUAGGGUGCGAGCGUUGCCCGGAUUUAUUGGGCGUAAAGGGCGCGUAGGUGGUUCUGUGUGCUCCGCGUGAAAUCGCCCGGCUCAACCGGGCGGGGUCGCGGAUGACUACAGGACUGGAGCCUGGGAGGGGGAAGCGGAAUUCCCGGUGUAGUGGUGGAAUGCGUAGAUAUCGGGAGGAACACCAGUGGCGAAGGCGACUACCUGGCCUGUUCUUGACGCUGAGGCGCGAAAGCUAGGGGAGCAAACGGG